CAUCCAAACCUGCGCGACCGACGCGACUACGAAGCAGGAACGUCAGCUGCGCGGCGACUUUUAAAGGCGCC